AAGCGGCGGACGGGUGAGUAACGCGUGGGUAACCUACCCUGUACACACGGAUAACAUACCGAAAGGUAUGCUAAUACGGGAUAAUAUAUUUGAGAGGCAUCUCUUAAAUAUCAAAGGUGAGCCAGUACAGGAUGGACCCGCGUCUGAUUAGCUAGUUGGUAAGGUAACGGCUUACCAAGGCGACGAUCAGUAGCCGACCCGAGAGGGUGAUCGGCCACAUUGGAACUGAGACACGGUCCAA
rnacentral:rRNA from 1 species